rnacentral:tRNA from 1 species
GCCGGGGUAGUUCAGCUGGUCAGAACGCCGCACUCAUAAGGCGGAAGUCGUGAGUUCGAGUCUCACCCCCGGCA